UUAACUAAUUUUUUUGGUGGUAAGCAAAAAAUGUGGUUAGGUAUUUUUUUUCCUAUUUUUUUAACUCAUUUUUUGGGUUGUUAAGCAAAAAAUGUGGUUAGAUAAUUUUUUUCUAUUCGUUUUUAACUGAAUUUUUUGGGGUAUUAAGUAAAAAAUGUGGUUAGAUCAUUUUUUUCUAUUUUUUUAACUCACUGAUAAGUUUACGAUACAAUGAAAAGUUGUCACCUUUAAUACCUUUGUUUUUUUCAUAGUCUGGUUAAGCUUGCAAUUGUUAAUAAACCUGUAAGCAAAUUUUAUCUAUAUAUGCAAGGGGGACAUGGAGGAAGGGACCUAUUCUCAGAGGAGGCGUGGUAGCAAAUUGUUUAAGAACCUCCACUCUGAUCAGACUUAACCCUUAGACGGCAGCAGAACUCUAUACAGACGGUCCUAAAUUCAGUCAGGAUGGCGUUGAAACUCUACAUGGAUGGUCCAAAAUUCAGUCAGGAUGGCGUUGGAACUCUACAUGGACGGUCCAAAAUUCAGUCAGGAUGGCGUUGGAACUCUACAUGGAUGGUCCAAAAUUCAGUCAGGAUGGCGUUGGAACUCUACAUGGAUGGUCCAAAAUUCAGUCAGGACGGCGUUGAAACUCUACACAGAAGGUCCAAAAUUCAGUCAGGACGGCGUUGAAACUCUACACAGAUGGUCCAAAAUUCAGUCAGGACAGCGUUGAAACUCUACACAGAAGGUCCAAAAUUCAGUCAGGACAGCGUUGAAACUCUACAUAGAAGGUCCAAAAUUCAGUCAGGACAGCGUUGGAACUCUACACAGAAGGUCCAAAAUUCAGUCAGGACAGCGUUGAAACUCUACACAGAAGGUCCAAAAUUCAGUCAGGACAGCGUUGAAACUCUACACAGAAGGUCCAAAAUUCAGUCAGGACAGCGUUGGAACUCUACACAGAUGGUCCAAAAUUCAGUCAGUUUAGUAUGGCAGAAAUAUAACAACGCUUCCUGACUGCGGCAGAGGCUAUAUAUAGACGAUAGUUAAAACACCUCUUAUGCGGCGUAACUUUAUUUAUUCUACGGUCCUAAGGUCGGCAGUGACUAUAUAUAGCACCGUUGCCAGAUUGUCGUACCAGUUUCUGACGCCUAACUAUUGCCGAGAAACAUCAGGAUCCAACUCUUUUAACGAUAACUAUAAAUGAGUUUCGUUAUAGGAGCCCAGAAGACAGUUUAGGGGUAAGAAGUCGGUAAAUAUAAUCGGUUUCUGACGCCUUACUAUUGCCAAGAAACAUCAGGAUCCAACUCUUUUAACGAUAACUAUAUAUGAGUUUCGUUAUAGGAGCCCAGAAGAAAGUUUAGGGAUAAGAAGUCGGUAAAUAUAAUCGGCUGAGUACGACAAUCUGGCAACAUUGAUAUAUAGAUGAUUCAUUUUUGGGGGAGCUACCCUUCAAAUACUGAGUACGACAAUCUGGCAACAUUGAUAUAUAGAUGAUUCAUUUUGGGGGGAGCUACCCUUCAAAUACUGAGUACGACAAUCUGGCAAUGUUGAUAUAUAGAUGAUUCAUUUUUGGAGGAGCUACCCUUCAAAUACUGCUGCUGUCUUAGGGUUAAUAACUGUCCUGGAGCUGCUGUUGCAUAUGAUAUAAAAGAAGAAACAUACUAAUGAAAAUGUAAUGUUCUAAUCAGACUUCUAAACAUUCCACUCAUAAAUACGGGAAGAGGAUGAAAGGCUCGUUAAAUAUAGUCACUACGUCACUGGAUUUCAUGGACAAAAGCUCUAUAUAAAAAUCUGAUCCUGUAAUAGCGUCUUCCAUUUAGCGUAACCUGUUCCUGGGUCGUGAUCUGUAGAGUCCUUUAUAGAGUCCCGACAACCUAGGAUUCGGACACCAUUAUUGGCCCUGUUUUCGCCGCGCUUCUCAAACGCUAGCGCACGCUCUCCCGGCGAAAACAGGGGCAAGAAUGGCGUCCAAAUCUUAGGUUGUUGGGGCUCUAUCUAUCAAGGGACUCUACUGAUCACAACCCAGAAACAGGUUACGCUAAAUGGAAGACGCUAUGGCUGGUAUUACAAGACACUUUGCCAUAUUACAUCAGCUAUUUCUUAAGGUCAAAUAGUGGAUCAAUCGGGUUUUGAUGAGUGGUUCUUUAAGUUCAUGGUACAGAAGAAGGGUCACACUACCACCAGGGUCAUAAAACUACCUCUGGAAAUGCCCACAACUCCUACGAAAGCCUUGGAAAAUGUGUGUUCUUGGGCGGGGAAAUGUCUUGUAAUACGACCCUAUAAGGCUACAUCACUACUUGUUGGUACGGACUAAUUGUUAGGUUUGAGGGAUAGCUAGUCAAAAAGCACUGCACCUUACUGUUGAAAAAUGUGGCUAUUAUUUUUUUAUCUGUUAUGGGAGGUAAACAAAAACUGUGGUUAUUCAUUUUUUAACUUGUUUUUUGGGGGGAAGUAGGCAAAAAAUGUGGUUAAAUUUUUUUCUAUUCUUUUUUCACUCAUUUUUUGGGGUGGAAAGCAAAGAAUGUGGUUAAUUUUUUUUCUAUUCUUUUUUAACACAUUUUUUGGGGUGGAAAGCAAAGAAUGUGGUUAAUUUUUUUUCUAUUCUUUUUCACUCAUUUUUUGGGGUGGAAAGCAAAGAAUGUGGUUAAUUUUUUUUCUAUUCUUUUUUCACUCAUUUUUUGGGGUGGAAAGCAAAGAAUGUGGUUAAUUUUUUUUCUAUUCUUUUUUAACUCAUUUUUUGGGGUGGAAAGCAAAGAAUGUGGUUAAUUUUUUUCUAUUCUUUUUUUAACGCAUUUUUUGGGGUGGAAAGCAAAGAAUGUGGUUAAUUUUUUUCCAUUCUUUUUUAACGCAUUUUUUGGGGUGGAAAGCAAAGAAUGUGGUUAAUUUUUUCUAUUCUUUUUUAACUCAUUUUUUUGGGGGGAAGUAGGCAAAAAAUGUGGUUAAUUUUUUUUCUAUUCUUUUUUAACGCAUUUUUUGGGGUGGAAAGCAAAAAAUGUGGUUAAUUUUUUUUCUAUUCUUUUUUCACGCAUUUUUUGGGGUGGAAAGCAAAAAAUGUGGUUAAUUUUUUUCUAUUCUUUUUUCAUGCAUUUUUUUGGGUGGAAAGCAAAGAAUGUGGUUAAUUUUUUUUCUAUUCUUUUUUAACGCAUUUUUUGGGGUGGAAAGCAAAGAAUGUGGUUAAUUUUUUUCUAUUCUUUUUUUAACGCAUUUUUUGGGGUGGAAAGCAAAGAAUGUGGUUAAUUUUUUUCUAUUCUUUUUUAACGCAUUUUUUGGGGUGGAAAGCAAAGAAUGUGGUUAAUUUUUUUUCUAUUCUUUUUUAACUCAUUUUUUGGGGUGGAAAGCAAAGAAUGUGGUUAAUUUUUUUUCUAUUCUUUUUUAACUCAUUUUUUGGGGUGGAAAGCAAAGAAUGUGGUUAAUUUUUUUUUCUUUUCUUUUUUCACUCAUUUUUUGGGGUGAAAAGC